GAUGAACGCUAGCGGCAGGCUUAAUACAUGCAAGUCGAACGGCAGCACGGGUAGCAAUAUCUGGUGGCGAGUGGCGCACGGGUGCGUAACACGUAUGCAACCUUCCUUCAACUGGGGAAUAGCUCACCGAAAGGUGAAUUAAUACCCCAUAAUAUUCGAGAGUGGCAUCACUUUCCAAUUAAAGAACUUCGGUUGAAGAUGGGCAUGCGGAACAUUAGCUAGUUGGCGGGGUAACGGCCCACCAAGGCAACGAUGUUUAGGGGAUCUGAGAGGAUUAACCCCCACACUGGUACUGAGACACGGACCAGACUCCUACGGGAGGCAGCAGUAAGGAAUAUUGGACAAUGGAGGCAACUCUGAUCCAGCCAUGCCGCGUGCAGGAUGACGGCCCUAUGGGUUGUAAACUGCUUUUAUACGGGAAAAAACCCCACUACGUGUAGAGGGCUGAUGGUACCGUAAGAAUAAGGAUCGGCUAACUCCGUGCCAGCCGCCGCAGUAAUAC
rnacentral:rRNA from 1 species